AUACGGAGGAUCCGAGCGUUAUCCGGAUUUAUUGGGUUUAAAGGGUGCGCAGGCGGCCAUUUAAGUCAGCGGUUAAAUCGUGGGGCUCAACCCCAUUCUGCCGUUGAUACUGGGUGGCUUGAUUGCGGUCGAGGUUGGCGGAAUUCGUUGUGUAGCGGUGAAAUGCAUAGAUAUGACGAAGAACACCGGUUGCGUAGGCAGCUGACCAGACCGCAAAUGACGCUCAUGCACGAAAGUGCGGGGAUCGAACAGGAUUAGAUACCCUGGUAGUCCGCACAGUAAACGAUGAAUACUUGUUUUCGGCGAUAUAAUGUCGGAGGCAAAGCGAAAGCGAUAAGUAUUCCACCUGGGGAGUACGCCGGCAACGGUUAAACUCAAAGGAAUUGACGGGG
rnacentral:rRNA from 1 species